rnacentral:misc_RNA from 1 species
GCAAACUUGGUCAUUUAGAGGAAGUAAAAGUCGUAACAAGGUUUCCGUAGGUGAACCUGCGGAAGGAUCAUUACUGAUUAAAAAUAAAUUUACUUGUUGGAAGGGUAUUAAGAGGUUGCGUGGGGAGUGGGGGAGAAGGAGAGAGAGAGAGAUAGAGAGGGGGGGGAGGGCUUGUGUGGCUCUUCUCUUCUCUGCUCUGCUCUAUUGCUAGUAGUAGUAAUAGCGCGGUCUUUCUUUUUUUCUUUUCUUUUUCCUCUUCUUUUCACGCACCAACAACACAAACCACCUUUACUAUUAAUUUGCCAAUAUAAGAAUUCAUUAACUAGUAAAACUUGCAACAAUGGAUCUCUUGGCUCUUGCAUCGAUGAAGAACGCAGC